rnacentral:rRNA from 1 species
AACGAACGCUGGCGGCAGGCUUAACACAUGCAAGUCGAACGGGUGUAGCAAUACAUCAGUGGCAGGCGGGUGAGUAACACGUGGGAACCUUCCUAGGGGUACGGAACAACUCAGGGAAACUUGAGCUAAUACCGUAUACGUCCGAGAGGAGAAAGAUUUAUCGCCCUUAGACGGGCCCGCGUCGGAUUAGCUAGUUGGUGGGGUAACGGCCUACCAAGGCAACGAUCCGUAGCUGAUCUGAGAGGAUGAUCAGCCACACUGGGACUGAGACACGGCCCAGACUCCUACGGGAGGCAGCAGUGGGGAAUCUUGGACAAUGGGCGCAAGCCUGAUCCAGCCAUGCCGCGUGAGUGAAGAAGGCCUUAGGGUUGUAAAGCUCUUUUGGCAGGGACGAUAAUGACGGUACCUGCAGAAUAAGCCCCGGCAAACUUCGUGCCAGCAGCCGCAGUAAAAC